UACAGGAGGGUCGAGCGUUAAUCGGAAUUACUGGGCGUAAAGCGUGCGUAGACGGCUAUCUAAGUCGGGUGUGAAAGCCCCCGGGCUCAACCUGGGAAUUGCAUUCGAGACUGAAUAGCUAGGGUACGGUAGAGGGAAGCGGAAUUUCCGGUGUAGCGGUGAAAUGCGUAGAUAUCGGAAGGAACAUCAGUGGCGAAAGCGGCUUCCUGGACCAGUACCGACGUCAGGCACGAAAGCGUGGGGAGCAAACAGG
rnacentral:rRNA from 1 species